CCAGAGUUAGAGAGGCUGACUCUGCUGGAGAGGAAGUGGAGGAGGGGUCUGGACAGACAAAACAAUGGAGCCACAACGUCCCAUCCAGAUACCAAAGGCACAGGUUCUAAAGAUUGAGGGAAAUGCUAGAUCAAGGUUAGCAGUGAAUCCAAUGACUGGUGUCCUUACAAGAAGAGGAGAGGACACACAGACACACACAAAGAUGAAGACCACGUGAAGAUGAAGUCAGAGAUCGGAGUGUUGCAGCUACAACUCAAGGAACACUUGGAACCACUAAAAGGCAUUGUUCCCAAGAACACUCACCAAUUCAAUUCUUCUGUGCUAAUUCCCAUCUCAGAGUCUGCUUCCAAGGGACUCAACUUGCAACAAUGGCAGGGGUGGUCUAAGAAAACAGAUGUUCAUAUGGGAUUUUGAAGCUGCCACCCACCAGCCAGCCAGCAGUGAGGACCCUGAUCUUCAGAAGAAGGAGGGCAGUUGCCACAUAAUGGAAGAGAAGAAUGUGAUCCACUAGGUUGCCUCUUGACUUUCCCUUGCUCAUCCUGAUGAUAAAAAGAUAAAUACAACAGUCAUGCUUAAGAAGGGUAUGGAGAUCAGGAACUCAGAGGUCUCAGGAAUAAGGAUCCAAGUCAUGCCAACAGGUAAACCAUCUACUCAACAAAGAUGGUGGCUGAGAAUGAGACAAUCUAGAAUGGGUAGUACAUGAUGAGUAUCUACUCAUCAAGCAGUUGUGGCCCCAACAGCUUGGGCUCCAACUACUUACAGCCAGGGCUGUAACUUAUCCUACUAGCCUUCUUAUCCAUUUUCCCCAGGAAAAGAGGUCCAACACAAUUUUGGAGGAACUCUUCCCAGAAUUUACAUGGAGAAGUGGAUUUGGGCAGUGCAAAUGGCAGACCAUAGUGGAAGCUGUGAUGUGCCACUCUGGCCCCUUUAAGACUGAAGGACUUAUUUCUCCAGCUAUUGAGGGCACUAUUGGCUACAGGUCUCAGUAAUUACCCUAGGUUGGAGAGUUCUGCCUUCCACAAACUCAUGCCUCCUCCCUAGGGCAACCCAGAUCCAAUAACUGGUCAGUGUGUAAUAUUAAGACCCAGACUCCUCAACUUAUCUCAGGACAACAUUAAAGGGCGUCACAGCUUCCGGGUCCCCAAAGGGUUGGCCUGGUCUUUGUUGAAACUACGUCACAGCCCAAUUUCUUCCUCUGUCCCAUACUGACUGCUUCUUUCUCUUCCUUUCCACAAUGGUGAUCCCAAGAGUGCUCCCUACAAAACUUCCCUCACGCUAGUCUCCAUCCCAGAAUCUGUUUCCUAGGAAACCCAUCCUUCAACAAGAAUAUUAUAGAAACACCUGAUGAAAUUUGAAUAUAGACUCUUGAUUAGAUAAUGGGAUUGUAUCAGUGUUAAAUUUCCUGAUUUUUGACCAUAUACAGUGUUUUGGUUUUUUUCAAAGAUUUAAAAAAUUUUUUUUUCCUUUUUCUCCCAAAGCCCCCCGGUACAUAGUUGUGUAUUUUCUAGUUGUGGGUCCUUCUAGUUGUGGUACGUGGGACACUGCCCCAGCACAGCCCGAUGAGCAGUGCCAUGUCUGCACCCAGGACUCGAACCAGCAAAACACUGGGCUGCCUAAGCAGAGCACGGGAGCUCAACCACUCAGCCACAGGGCUGGCCUCCCAUAUGCAGUGUUUAUAUAAGAGAAUGUCUUUGUUCUUAGGAAACACACACUGGCGUAUACAGGGAUAAAGGCACACAAUAUCUACAACUUAAUCUCAACUGAUUUAGAAAAAAUUGUACAUGGAGAGGUGGAGGAUCAGAGAGAGAAAGAAGAAACUAGGGCAAAAUGUAAACAAUUAGUGAAUCUGGGUAAAAGGUAUAGGGAAGGCAUUUCUACACUUCUUUCAUCUUUUCUAUGUCUGAAUCUAUAUCAAAAUAAAAAGUUACCAAAACAAAGUGACCAGACUUCAUCUCAUUCCCAGAAAUUCUGAUUCACUUGGCUACUAUUAUAUUCCCAAUGCUCAGCCCUAGUCUAU
rnacentral:lncRNA from 1 species